UAAGGAAUAGAUAGUUAACUCACUCAUUAUUAAAGGAAUAGAUAUCACGAUAUCGAACUUAGAUCCUUUGGAUAUAUGCACCAAAGAGGCUAAGGGUUUUGCUGGAUAUACACACUAACAAGAUGAUCUUCUUAGAGAAAAAGUUUUUGAUAAAAAAAAAAAAUGAGUUCUCAAAGAAACUACAAGGGUUUGUCCUCCUCUCCGAGCUAUUUCUCCUCAGCUUCUCUCCUAACUACGAGCUCAGCUUCUCCAAGUUCCACGUCCGUUUCAUGCUCCAUAUCCUUAGUGCUAUCCAUGAUCAUAUCAAGCAUAUAAUGCCAUUUUGGGAGACUGAAGGAAAGUGGUAGGCCAACC
rnacentral:lncRNA from 1 species